GAGGAGGUGGCUGAGCGGUCAAAAGCGGCAGACUGUAAAUCUGUUGUAUAUAUACUACGUAGGUUCAAAUCCUACCCUCCUCA